UACGUAGGCAGCAAGCGUUGUUCGGAGUUACUGGGCGUAAAGGGUGCGUAGGCGGUUGUUUAAGUUUGGUGUGAAAUCUCCCGGCUCAACUGGGAGGGUGCGCCGAAUACUGAAUGACUAGAGUGCGGGAGAGGAGAGUGGAAUUCCUGGUGUAAGCGGUGAAUGCGUAGAUAUCAGGAGGAACACCGGUGGUGUAGACGGCUCUCUGGACCGUAACUGACGCUGAGGCACGAAAGCGUGGGUAGCAAACAGG
rnacentral:rRNA from 1 species